UACGGAGGAGGCAAGCGUUAUCCGGAAUUAUUGGGCGUAAAGCGUCCGUAGGUGGCGGUGUUGGCCCGGCGUGAAAGCCCCCGGCUCAACCGGGGAGAGUCGUCGGGGACCGCACCGCUUGAGGGCGGUAGGGGCUGGUGGAAUGCCUGGUGUAGCGGUGAAAUGCGCAGAUAUCAGGAGGAACACCAAUUGCGAAGGCAGCUCGCUGGGACGUUACUGACGCUGAGACGCGAAAGCGUGGGGAGCAAACAGG
rnacentral:rRNA from 1 species